rnacentral:rRNA from 1 species
UACGAAGGGUGCAAACGUUGCUCGGAAUCAUUGGGCGUAAAGCGCACGUAGGCGGCUUCGCAAGUCGGAUGUGAAAUCCCAUGGCUCAACCAUGGACGUGCAUCCGAAACUGCGGAGCUUGAGUACUGAAGAGGAUCGCGGAAUUCCCGGUGUAGAGGUGAAAUUCGUAGAUAUCGGGAGGAACACCAGUGGCGAAGGCGGCUCUCUGGGCAGAUACUGACACUGAGACGCGAAAGCGUGGGGAGCAAACAGG